rnacentral:rRNA from 1 species
UACAGAGACUGCGAGCGUUAUUCGGAUUCACUGGGCGUAAAGGGUGCGUAGGCGGCCCUGUAAGUCAGUGCUGAAAUAUCCCAGCUUAACUGGGAGGGUGGCAUUGAUACUGCGGGGCUAGAGUACAGAUGAGGUAGGCGGAAUUGACGGUGUAGCGGUGAAAUGCUUAGAUAUCGUCAAGAACACCUAUAGCGAAGGCAGCUUACUAGGCUGCAACUGACGCUGAGGCACGAAAGUGUGGGGAUCAAACAGG